UGAGAUGUUGGGUCAAGUCCCGCAACGAGCGCAACCCUCGCCCUUAGUUGCCAUCAUUUAGUUGGGCACUCUAAGGGGACUGCCGGUGAUAAGCCGGAGGAAGGUGGGGAUGACGUCAAGUCCUCAUGGCCCUUACGGGCUGGGCUACACACGUGCUACAAUGGCGGUGACAGAGGGAUGCAAAGGGGCGACCCUUCGCAAAUCUCAAAAAACGUGGCCCAGUUCGGAUUGCAGGCUGCAACUCGCCUGCAUGAAGCCGGAAUCGCUAGUAAUCGCGGGUCAGCAUACCGCGGUGAAUGUGUUCCUGAGCCUUGUACACACCGCCCGUCAAGCCACGAAAGUGGGGGGUAUCCGAAGUCGCUGAGGUAACCGCAAGGAGCCAAGCGCCUAAGAUAAACUCCGCGAUUGGGACUAAGUCGUAACAAGGUAA
rnacentral:rRNA from 1 species